AUCAUGCUGACGAGUCCCAAAUAGGACGAGACGUGCAUCCUUGAU
rnacentral:hammerhead_ribozyme from 1 species